CCUACGGGAGACAGCAGUGAGGAAUAUUGGUCAAUGGACGAGAGUCUGAACCAGCCAAGUAGCGUGAAGGAUGACUGCCCUAUGGGUUGUAAACUUCUUUUAUAUGGGAAUAAAAUGUUCCACGUGUGGGAUUUUGUAUGUACCAUAUGAAUAAGGAUCGGCUAACUCCGUGCCAGCAGCCGCGGUAAUACGGAGGAUCCAAGCGUUAUCCGGAUUGAUUGGGUUUACAGGGAGCGUAGGUGGAUUGUUAAGUCAGUUGUGAAAGUUUGCGGCUCAACCGUAAAAUUGCAGUUGAAACUGGCAGUCUUGAGUACAGUAGAGGUGGGCGGAAUUCGUGGUGUAGCGGUGAAAUGCUUAGAUAUCACGAAGAACUCCGAUUGCGAAGGCAGCUCACUGGACUGCAACUGACACUGAGGCUCGAAAGUGUGGGUAUCAAACAGGAUUAGAUACCCCUGUAGUC
rnacentral:rRNA from 1 species